UACUUUGAGUAGUUCGAGGUUUGGAAUAUUUUGGAAAUUGUUUAGUUAAAUAUAAGAUAAGAUUUGUUGCUAAAAAGAGGAUUUGGGUUGGGCUAGAGGCAUCCUUUCUUUUUGUUCCGAGUCAAUAUCAAUUGGUUUUCUUUGCAGACAAUUGCAUUGGUUUUUUUGUUGAAAUCACGCAGCUCUACCUGCAGAAAUUAAUGGAUAUUUCCGAGUGGAUUGCUUUGGUGGCCUCAAUCAGAUGAGAAGAGAUUUUUGUGAUGGUGCUGGCAUUGCCCGUUUGCUGAAUGCCACUCCAGUUUUUUGCCCAAGUUUGAAGCGGCUUCAUAUUGGAACUAGUCAAGAAUAUGAUGAGCCCAUUUCGAGUUCAGUGUGGAGAUUCCUCAUUGAUCAAUGCUUGAAAAUGCACUGUUGGACAAGCAGCAUACAUAUUCCAACUUGAAGAUAAUCUUGAAGCUUUGCAGGCUGCUUUAGAAGAAUUAAGAGAGUUAAAGAAUGAUGUGAUCCUAAAUAUUGGCCUUUCAAACCAUCAACGAUCAUAAAGCUUUAGUGAAAAGUCUACCUAAUGACUCUGCUACUAAGACCUAUUUUCAAUCUUGUUUUGAAGCAUUUUCAGUGCAAAAGAAAAAAAGAAGGUUAAGUUAAGGAUUGUUAAUUUUCUUUUCGAUUUCAUAAAUUCCAACUCUAGCACUCUGUUUUUUCUUUUAUUUUAUCCUUUUAUUCCUCAAUUAUCCUGUCUACUUGCUCCAUUUCUGCUGUUUUAGUUUUUGACAUACUAAUUCAAUAGAAUUUCAAUCAGAUCAAU